rnacentral:lncRNA from 1 species
UAAAUAUUUGCGCUCGCGUGUGUCUGUGGCAGCAUCUGUGUGUGUAUGUGAGACUGAAAGGAGGUGGGAGAUGAGGAGGGGAAGGGAAUCAGCUCCAGCAGCAACAGGCUCUAUUCUUCAGUUCUGCUAAAAGAAAGAGGAAGAGAGGAAGAAAAAAAUAGACACUCCUUUUUUUUCUCACGACACACCCUGAAGGAGAAGGCGCCUAGGCGCUGUCCGUAGUGCUGAAAUGGUGCGUGGUGAGACCUGUCUCCCCAACACAAGCUAGAAGACAACAAAAUAGCAGCCAGGAAACGCUCUGAUAAAGCUCUAGAUAGCUGCCAGGUGAUGCCAGAGAUUACUAGUUUUGGGACCAAUUAAAGUAGCAAGAUGCAGCCAGGAGUGGUGGCUUAUGCCUGUAAUCCCAGCACUUUGGGAGGCCGAGGUAGGAGGAUCACCUGAGGCCGAGCUCAAGGGAGCAGAACUAAGUUACAUGAUUCUGCUGCGGAUGUAUAAGCACCACUCCAAUAAUUUAUUAUCACGGUUGGAGACUUUGACUUGUCACUUUAUGACUUGAAAUAUGGCUCCAUGGUAAAUGCCCAUAAAGCUGAUUUUUAAAAUCUGGAUAUUACAGUUCUAAUUCUCACUUAGUUUAAAAGGUAGAAUAGGCUUCUUGUUUCAUAGAUCAUUUGUGUGAAUGUUGAUUUGUUAUGUCAUUGACAUCAUACACACAUGCUUACAUUUUGAAGGUUGCUAGCGUUUCCCAUUAAUGCUUCUGAAUUGAUGCCAAAGGAAAGCAUUGAUUAUAAAUUAGGUUCCUUGGUAUUAGUUGGUGCAUGACCCUGACCCUUUUCAAGCUAUAUGAAAGGUAAUGAUGCUCUCAAAAGCCUGCAAAAUGGCUUAUUCAGGAAAGCAUAAUGGAUUAAAAAUCCAUUAGGUUCCACUUUCUUUGCUAGAUGCUGAGAUACAAAGAUAAAUGAGAUUUGGUCUCUGCCCUCGAGGAGAUACGUGGCAAAAUAAUAUGGUAAGUUCUACAAAGUUCUAUACAAACACAGAUUAAUAUGCUAUUCAUGUUUUAUUAGCCAUUGCCAAAGAAGGGAUGAAGAACUGCAAAAAGAUAAAACACAGAAUACUUGUACUUCAGGUCCUUGCCAAUAUCUACUGCCCAACUUUUACAAAAAAAAUUGCUGAAAGGCAUGAAAUAUAUGAAUGCCUUUCUAAAGCACAUGUGGAUAAUCUAUACUUCUGGAGCAUCUAUGAUUUAUUUUCAGAACAAUCCAAGUUAUUAGAAAGGUAAAUAUGUUGGUGACAUUGUUUAGAAGUUCCUCAAGCAGAAUUGCCUUUACUAUGCUUUGACAUUAUGCUCUCAGCUUAUAUACAGUAAUUCUAUGUGAAACAGUAGCCAGCUUACACAACCUGCUCUAUAUCUACUACAGAGCUGUUACUAAAGUGUUGGUCAACAUAUAACUUACUAUUUCUUAUAUAAAGAUGCCCAAGAAAUUUAGAUUUCAUAGAUAUAUCCCCAAAAGCAUUUCUUUCAAUACCAGUUUAAUGAAUUGAACUUUCAUACCUCACUUAAAUCAACCCAGGGUAAAGUGGUAUGUUCUGUUCUUACACACAAUGAAAAUCAUGUAACUAAUUAAAGUUAGCAUUUAUUUUAGCUACUAGGGAUGCCAGAGUCAAAUUAACAGCUGAAAAUGAAUAACUACAUAAGACCUUAAGCCUUUUAUAUCUUUUCUUUUUUUUUAAUCACCUUAACUACUGCAAUUUUGGUUUCUUAGGUAAUGAUAAUAUUAUUUUCUUUUAAUUAUUUGUUUUAAUGUGUGACCUCAUGUAAAUGUCCUCAUAAAAUCAGAAGUGGAGUAAAUAAAUAAAUAAAGUAAAUUUCUCUACUUUUUGAUUAUUGGGUGAGUGUAUAUGGUUGUUUUAUAAAUUUAUUCUAAAUAGGAUACUAAAAUACAGAAAAUGUAUCAUCUAAUUAGCUAUGAAGAUAAAAAUCUAAACUAUAAUGAGGAAAUAUUAAAAUGUCAAGAUGACGAAGAAAUUUUUCAGUUUAUAUAAUUAUAGAUCAGCUUAAUUUCAAACCACUUUGUUACCCUAUUGCUAUUUUUAUACUCUAAAUAGUGUCCCUUAUAUGACUAAGACUUUUUGUUAUCUCAGAGAUUGGAAGUGUUAAUUGUCCACCUUGUUAGAAGACAUGGUAACUAUAGGAAUUUAGAAAGCAUGAUAGCCCAACUGUAAUGAAUAUAUUCUAGAAUGAGGUUGUCACAAAGAAACUGAAAACAAGAAUUUCCUCUAACAACUGAGCUCAGGAUUCUUUUCAGAGGAAAAUUUAGCUUGCAUAAAUUCUUGCCAUCUUGGCUCUAGUUGACUUCUUGCUCUCAACUUUUGCAAAGUGAGAUCACCUUUACCUCUUCAACCUAUGAGGCCAACAUGUUACUUUCAAUUUUUCAGGAAAAUCUACGUCUUGUUUGGCUGAGGUUUGAUUAUUAUUCCUUAACUAAAAUAUUUUAAUGUAGCUGUGCUUUUUAAUUUGAAUAUUGCUAUUGAUUCAAACAUUGGGUAGCAUAUCUUUCAAAUGUGAAAUUUUAAAACAUGUAUUAAAGACAAACAUAAAUUAGUUUUGGUAUAACUAUUUUUUAAGAUUAAUCCAAUGCUUUUUUGGCUUUAGAUGAUGUUUGGUAAUUAGCUAUAUUCAAAAGUCAACCUUUUUUUUUUUUCAAAAAAUGAACUCCUAUGUAUAUGAGUGUUAUUUUUAUCUACCCAUGUCUUUUUUGUCUACAUAUACAGUUUUAAUCAUUGUUUCGGGGGGAGGAAUAAGAAUGAUUUUGAAAUUUCACUAAGAAAGAUAUGCCCUCUUCCUAAAAAUACAUAUAUACAGAUGUUUUGCUCACAGCUCAGGUAUUCAUGGAUCUCUGGAAGUUCAUUUUUAUAAUCCCAAGGUAAUCCAAAGAGCCUGCUAAAAAAUUCUGCUGUAAAUGCAUGGUACAUGAUCUCAUUCCCUGUUUUACAACGAAGUAUUGAAUGGCUUAAACUCCUACUUUUUUUUUUUUUUUUUUUUUUGAGAUGGAGUCUCCCUCUGUUACCCAGGCUGGAGUGCAGUGGCUCGAUCUCUGCUCACUGCAACCUCUGCCUCCUGGGUUCAAGCGAUUCUCCUGCCUCAGCCUUCUGAGUAACUGGGAUUACAAGCACAUGCCAUCAGGCCUGGCUAAUUUUUAUUUUUUUUUUGUAUUUUUAGUACAAUCAGGGUUUCAGCAUGUUGGUCAGGCUGGUCUCGAACUCCUGACCUCAUGAUCCGCCUGCCUUGGCUUCCCAAAAUGCUGGGAUUACAGGCGUGAGCCAACGCGCCUGGCCAACUCCUACAUAUUUUAAAGCCACCCCAUUAGUUUUCUAUUUUUUUCCCCUUGGAGAUCUUCCUUUAGGUCAUUUUUACCAUCUGAUAUCUCAAAACUAAGCCAAGGCUGAAUGUGCUGAAAUAGGAUUAGAGAGUACAGUAAUAGGAUAAUUAGAUUUGAUUAGAAAAUGACUGUGUGGGAUUUUGUCAACAGUGAAGAAAUGAUCUAAGUAUGUGGACUCCUAAGUGAAUUGAGCAUGAUGACACUUUAGUGUAGUUAAUGAUCUAAUGCUGGUCUGGUUGAUGAGUCCCAUUGAAAAUGAGAUGCUCUGUUUUCUGGUAAACUUUUCUGCAAAGAAAAAUGUACUAAAUGUUUCAGUUCAGAGUGUUCUAUUUAAAUGAAAUUUCAUUUAAUUGCUUUUAGUUUUACUGCCCAUAAGCCUUCAGUUGUUUCAUUUAAAGUGUACUUUAAGCCCUCCACUAUAUUCACUGUUGAAUCUAAUGAGUAUGAGAGGGUACCUUGGGCACAAUCUCCACGAAUGUAUGAGCCAUAACUACAGUAUAGUAUAUAGAGAUUAGCUUAAGUUAUUUUGCUCUGCUAAAGAUAGAGAAACAAGAGCAGUUUUCUAACAUAAUGUAUGCUUCUGUAAUAGGACUCAGUUAAAAAAUAAUUGGCAAAUAGGAAUGUCAAUGAAAUGUGGAAAUCAAUUGUUUUAUACAUGAUUUUCCCCAAUACGUUAAUGUUUUGACUACCAAGUAAAAGCAGUUGCACUCUAAGUCCACUAACACAGCUGAAGGUAGUAAGCUGUGGAGGAAAGUAGUCCUAUAUAUAACACCCAUUCACUCCUCCUUUUUCCUCUUGGCUUAAUUUCACCAUACGAUCUGUCUUGAAAAUGCUUAUUGCACAAUUCUUCCUGAUCUUUGUGCAUUUGUCCUUGUUUUUGUAACUCAACCUUUGGUUUAUUUAUUCCAUCAUUCUUUCCUAACUCAAACAAAUUUGUGAAGUUCUAAAUGUAUUGAAAUAUAUGUCGUAACUUUUAUUUUUAAUUGUGCUAGCAUUUUCUUAGCUUUGUAAAUGUUUUUUGCAGUGCUAUGGUUGUGAUGUUAUGUAAGUUUUACACUUUUUUCUCCAACAUAAUUUUUUCCCGAAAUAUUGCCAGUUAUUUUUGUUAUUGAAUAGACUUAAUUUUCUUAGAGCAGUUUCAGGAUUACAGAAAAGUCAGAGAGUACAGAAAGUUCCCAUAUAUCUCCCAUCCCUUUUCUCACAGUUUCACUUGUUAUUAACAUCUUACAUUAGUGUGGUACAUUUGUUAACAAUUGAUAAAACAAUUUUGUUACAUUAUUAUUAAGUACACAGUUUACACUAGAGUUUAUUCUUUUUGUUGGUCAGUUCUAUGAGUUUUGAAUAGUGUAUAAUGUCAUAUAUUCACCAUUAUAUUGUCAUGCAGAAUAGUUUCACAUUUCUGAAUAUCCCCUAUUUAUCCCUUCCUCUUCCCCUCACAAACCCCUGGAAUCCAUUGAUCUGAAACUGUCUUGCAGUUUUCUCUUUUCCAGAAUGUAUGUAUAGAGUCAUACAGACUCUGUUGCCCUUUCAAACUGGCUUCUUUCAUUUAACAACACGCAUGUAAGCAUCCUUCAUGACUUUUCAUGGCUUGAUAGCUCAUUUAUUUUUUAUUGUUCAAUAAUAUUUCAUUGUAUGGAUAUGCCACAGUUUAUUUAUCUAUAUAUCUGUUGAAAGAUAUCUCGGUUACUUCCAAUUUUUGGCAAUUAUGAAUAAAGAUACUAUAAAUAUUUGUGUGCAGGCUUUUGUGUGGACAUAAGUUUUCAAUUUGUUUCAGCAAAUAACUAACAGCGUGAUUGUUGGAUUCUAUGGUAAGACUAUAUUUAGCUGUGUAAGAAAUUGCCAUACUGUCUUCCAAAGUGGCUGCAUCAUUUUGUAUUUCUACCAGUAAUUAAUGAGAGUUCCUGUUGCUCCACAUCAUCUUCAACAUUUAGUGUUGUCAGUGUUUUGGAUUUUAGCCAUUCCAAUAAUAUAUAGUGGUUUCUCAUUAUUGUUCCAAUUUUCAACCCCC